rnacentral:lncRNA from 1 species
GAAUGAAGGAGACAACUCGCCACCGGAUUCCCGACUCUGGCUGCCAAUUACAUAUAGUUUAUUUACAAACUUAAGUUGGCACUGAUUCAGAAAUACAGAAACAGUUACCUUGAGACGGUGGCAAAGAGUGAGAAAAUCGACGGCGGCGGAAGGGGAAGGUGAAGGUGGAGAAGAAGAAGAAGCUUCAGCCGCCAUUCGCGAAGCCCUUGAGGCGGCGGUGCAAAGAGAAGCGAAGCGGAGCUGAGUAGCAAGGAUAGAGGGUGAUAGUAUGAAUUUGCAUAUCACUCUACUCAUUUUUCUUUCCCCCUUUUUUUUCUCUUCGAUUGAGGGAAUAAGCGCUUUCCCCAAUUCUCACUAUUCAUAAAUUUCUAAGUAUUUUCGGAAAUAGGAAGCAAAAUUUUAUAAUUAAAUAUUCUUUUUAUAAUUAAAUAUUUCUUCUUUUUUCCAUUCAAAAGAAAUCUUUAUCUUACGAAAUAG